CAGCAGCCGCGGUAAUACGUAGGUGGCAAGCGUUGUCCGGAAUUAUUGGGCGUAAAGCGCGCGCAGGUGGUUCCUUAAGUCUGAUGUGAAAGCCCACGGCUCAACCGUGGAGGGUCAUUGGAAACUGGGGGACUUGAGUGCAGAAGAGGAAAGUGGAAUUCCAAGUGUAGCGGUGAAAUGCGUAGAUAUUUGGAGGAACACCAGUGGCGAAGGCGACUUUCUGGUCUGUAACUGACACUGAGGCGCGAAAGCGUGGGGAGCAAACAGGAUUAGAUACCCCCGUAGUCCCUGUCUCUUAUAC
rnacentral:rRNA from 1 species